CCUCAUCCUCAUCGUCUUCUUCAUCGUCUUCGUCGUCUUCCUCGCCUGAGGGAUGUCCUGUGCGUGUGUCCCCAACCCCUACCCCCCGCCAUAUCUGUGUCCCCCUCCCCCCCCUUUAUCCCCUCCCGACACCCCCAUCCUGGGGACAGACGGACUCGGAGACGGACAGCAAGGGGGGGGGGGGAGGUGUCUGCCGGGGACCCCCGCUUUGUCCCCCCCCAAACGGGGACCCCAAAAUGUCCCCAGGCAUCUUCUUGUCCCCCCUCCCCUGGGGACACAUCUCCCUGGGGACCCCGAGCUGCCUUUGGAGAACCCAAAGUACCCCCGGGGACCUCCUUGUCCCCACCUCGGGGACCCCAACUUGCUUCUGGGGACCCCAAGCUGCACUUGGGGACCCCAAAGUACCCCCGGGGACCUCCUUGUGCCCCCCCCAGGGACCCCAACCUGCCCUUGGAGACCCCAACCUGCCUCUGAGGAUCCCAAAGUGUCCUCAGGGACCCUCUUGUCGCCCCCCUGGGGACACCCCUUUGUCUCUGGGGACCCCCUUGUCCCCACCUUGGGGACCCCAACCUGCCCCUGGGGACCCCAACCUGCCCUUGGGGACCUCAAUGUGCCCCCAGGGACCCCCUUGUCCCUCCCCCGGGGACCCCAACGUGCUCCUGGGGACCCUCUUGCCCCCUUUGGAGACCCCAACCUGCCUUUGGGGACCCCAGCGUGUCCCCAGGGACCUCCUCGUCCCCUUUGGGGACCCCAACCUGUCCCCAGGGACCCCCAAUUUGCCUCUGGGGACUCCAAAGCGCACCCGCUGUCCCCCCCCAGCGGGUCCCGCAGCCUAUGCUGAGGUGGUCCCCGUGUCCUGCCCGGUCAUGGUGGCUGUGGACCCCCCCUCUCCGGGCCAUGACCCCCCCCGGGGGGGGCUGUGAACCCCUUAAAGCCACGGGACCCCUGGGGGGGGGGCUGUGGACCCCAUUAAAGCCCUUAUGGUGCCCCGGGGGGGGCGGGAGGGCUGCAGCCCCUCCAGAUAAAGCCUUGAGAGCCCUGAGGGGGGGGGGGCUUUGGGACCCCUGGAG
rnacentral:lncRNA from 1 species